rnacentral:rRNA from 1 species
UACGUAGGGGGCAAGCGUUGUCCGGAUUUAUUGGGCGUAAAGAGCGUGUAGGCGGCUAGGUAGGUCCGUUGUGAAAACUCGAGGCUCAACCUCGAGACGUCGAUGGAAACCAUCUAGCUAGAGUCCGGAAGAGGAGAGUGGAAUUCCUGGUGUAGCGGUGAAAUGCGCAGAUAUCAGGAAGAACACCCGUGGCGAAGGCAGCUCGCUGGGACGGUACUGACGCUGAGGCGCGAAAGCGUGGGGAGCAAACGGG